ensembl:lncRNA
GGCAUCAAAUGCCCCCAACGCUGCUGCCCGUGCACUCCUCACCCUCAAAAGUGAGAAUAUUUGGGCAUGCAGUGAGAUGAGCAGAAACGCUCCAUGUGUACCAGCCCAAAUCCUGCAUGCUUCAGCCUGUCUGAAGGAUUCAGGGUUUUGCAGCAAAUCAACCGAACCUUGUGUCAGUGAGAUCAAAAUAGAACCAACAGGAACUUUAAUCUGUCUCUGCUACAGAGAGAUGAAAUCAGUGCAGGCUCCAUAAAAUAAGAGUAAUGGAAACUGUUCAAGGUUAUGAGUAUCUGCAACAACAAAGUGUCUCCCAUUAAGUGAUGCACUGAAGCUGUGCAGAUGAAGUUAUAUGCUCUGGUACCACAACGAGGUACAA